GUGCUUGCUUUGGCAGCACAUAUACUAAAAAUUGGAAUGGUAUAGAGAAGAUUAGCAUGGCUCCUGUACAAGGAUGACAUGUAAAUUCCUAAGCAUUUCAUAUUAAA